GUUUUAGCCGUUUUAUAUACUGGAUAAAAUUGACAGUAACGAAUUAUGGUGUUGAGCCACAUGAAAUUAUAUAUAUGUAAAAAUAUAUAUAAUGGAAAGUGUCCUAAAAUAUGGCUGUUUGCAAGUGGGUUGGUAAAAAAUAGUUUCAAUUCGGAUUUUUAACCGGUUAACUAUUCCGCCUACUGUUGGUAAACUGUUCCUAGGACUGUGCUUAUUAUCACCGGUCGGCAGCGAUUCAGGUUCAGGCUCUUAUCCGACCCGUCUUGAAACACGGACCAAGGAGUUUAGCGUGUACGCAAGUCAUUGGGCCUAUAAACCCAUAGGCAAAAUGAAAGUAAAGAGUUGGAGUUUUGUAAAUUUUUACAUUCUCUACUUUAGGGAAGAUGGAAAAUAUUGUGCAGCAAUGUAUAAGAUUUUCCCGCAUUCCCAGGGCGCUUGAUUCUUGCUUUGCAAGUCAAUGCGCACCUAUAGCGUACACGCUGAUACCCGAAAGAUGGUGAACUAUGCCUGGCCAGGACGAAGCCAGGGGAAACCCUGGUGGAGGUCCGCAGCGAUUCUGACGUGCAAAUCGAUCGUCGGAGCUGGGUAUAGGGCGAAAGACCAAUCGAACCAUCUAGUAGCUGGUUCCAUCUGAAGUUUCCCUCAGGAUAGCUUGCACUCGGUUGAGACGAGUCUCAUCCGGUAGAGCGAAUGAUUAGAGGCAUUGGGGUCGAAACGACCUCAACCUAUUCUCAAACUCCAAAUAGAUGAGAUCCCCGGCUUUCUUAAAAGUGAAGCCGUGGGAAUAGGAUCAGAGUGACAAGUGGGCCAAUUUUGGUAAGCAGAACUGGCGCUGUGGGAUGAACCAAACGCAGAGUUAAGGCGCCUAAAUUGACGCUCAUGUGAAACCAUGAAAGGCGUUGGUUGCUUAAGACAGCAGGACGGUGGCCAUGGAAGUUGGAAUCCGCUAAGGAGUGUGUAACAACUCACCUGCCGAAGCAACUAGCCCUGAAAAUGGAUGGCGCUGUAGCGUCGUGCCUAUACUCUGCCGUCAAUGACAAAGAUGAUUAAUAAGCUGUGUGUUAAUUAAUGUUGUAGUCUUGACUGCAGUAUUGUUAAUUACAAAGUUUAUUACUAUAUCAUCAUUAUGUCUUGAUGAGUAAGAGGGCCGCGGCGAUGAGCGCAGAAGGGUCUGGGCGAGAGCCCGCCUGGAGCCGUCGCUGGUGCAGAUCUUGGUGGUAGUAGCAAAUACUCCAGCGAGGCCCUGGAGGACUGAUGUGGAGAAGGGUUUCUUGUGAACAGCUGUUGCACAAGAGUCAGUCGAUCCUAAGCCCUAGGAGAAAUCCGAAGCGAUAUGC
rnacentral:ncRNA from 1 species